GGGCCUGUAGCUCAGUUGGCAGAGCAUCGGACUUUUAAUCCGCGGGUCGUGGGUUCGAGCCCCACCGGGCCCA
rfam:Cnuibacter physcomitrellae strain XA(T), complete genome.